rnacentral:lncRNA from 1 species
CUCACAGAAGUUUCUCAUUACCCACCUUCUGAAGUCUGAUGCUAUCAUUUCCUCACACUCAUUCUCCAUCCAGCUUUGUUCCCUUGCUGGUGAGGAGUUGUGGUCCCUUGUAGGAGGCAAGGUGUUCUGGUUUCGGGUGUUUUCCUCCUCUUUGCACUGGUUUCUUCCCAUCUUUGUGGAUUUAUCCACCUGUCGUCUGAGUAGUUGCUGAUUUUUCAAUUGGGUCUCUGAGUGGACAUCCUGAUUGUUGAUGAUGAAGUAUUUCUGUUUCUUAGUUUUCCUUCUAACAGUCUGGCCCCUCUGCUGUAGGACUGCUGAGGUCCACUCCAGGCCCUGCUUGCCUGGUGUACACCUGUAGCGGCUGCAGAACCAUGAGGGUUGCCACCAGUUUCUUCUUAUGCUAUUUUUGUCCCUGAAUUAUGCUCACCAAAUGUCAGUCUGAUCAGUCCUUUGUGAGGUGACUCUUUGGAUAUACGAGGGCCUGGGAGCUGCUUGAGGAGACUGUCUGUACUUUAUAGGAGCUCAAGUGCUGAGCUGUGAGCUCCGUUGUUCAUUCAGGGCUGCUAGGCAGGUACAUUUAAGUCUGCUGCAGCAGAACUCAUAAAGCCCCUCUUCUUCCUCAGGUGCUCUGUCCCGGGGAGUUAGGGCUUUAUUUAUGAGUAUCCAUUGCACUGUCCUGCUCAGCAAGGAGGCAGUCUAACCACUGCCUGCCUUUAAUGGCUAUGCUGAGCUGCUGUGGGCUCUUCCCUGUGGCCGUGGGCUCCACCCUGCUGCCAUGGGCUUCAUCCUGCUCUCGUGGGCUCUGCCCUGCUGCUGUGUGUAUUUCCCUGUAGUCCUGUUUAUAUGGGUGAGGUUAGAGCUGCUCUGGUGAUGGUGGCCUGCCUUUGUAGUGGUGUACUCUCUCUGGAUCGGAAGAUCCCACUUGGGAGCCCACACCACUGGGGCCUUGGGUCCCAACCAUGGAACCAUGCAGAUUCUCAACAAUUACUUGGCUAGAAACAGCCUAAGCCUGCAGAGUUCCUAGGGAAGGGGCAUGGGGGUAGGUGUGGCCAUCACCAAUGCUAUGGCUGCCUGUGGCCUAAGCCAUUUGAGCUUCAUGGGGGAAGGAUGGUAGUCAUCACUGUGGCUGCAGAGCCUCCCUGUGGGAACUCCAACUCCAGCCAGAGGCUCAGGGACAGAACUCUGAUCUCCCUGGAACUGGGCCCCUAGGAGGAGUGGAGGCUGUAGUCUCCACAGACCAGUAGACUUAGUCUUGCCUCUUGCUUCUCUAAAGAAUCCAGGCAGCCCAGAUGAGUGGGCUUUCCCCCAGUGUAGCACACCACUUCCACCAAGGGAUAGCCAAAGUGCUUCAUUAAAUGGAUUCUGCUUCCUGUGCCACCCAAUCGGGUGAGACCCCCUUAACAGGGGUUGUCAGACAUCCUAUAUAGGAGCAUUUUUACUGUCAUCAGGUUGGUGCCCCUUGAGCCCAGAGAUCCCAGAAGAAGGAGUAGGCACAUAUUUUUGCUAUUCUUUAGCCUUCUUGAGUGACAUCUCUGGGUGCAGGAGCAAAC